UACAUAGGGUGCAAGCGUUGUCCGGAAUUAUUGGGCGUAAAGAGCUCGUAGGUCGUUUGCCACGUCGAUUGUGAAAAUCUGAGGCUCAACCUCAGACCUGCAGUCGAUACGGGCAAACUAGAGUGUGGUAGGGGAGACUGGAAUUCCUGGUGUAGCGGUGGAAUGCGCAGAUAUCAGGAGGAACACCAAUGGCGAAGGCAGGUCUCUGGGCCAUAACUGACACUGAGGAGCGAAAGCGCGGGGAGCGAACAGGAUUAGAUACCCUGGUAGUCCGCGCCGUAAACGAUGGGCACUAGCUGUGAGAACCUUCCACGGUUUUCGCGACGCAGCAAACGCAUUAAGUGCCCCGCCUGGGGAGUACGAUCGCAAGAUUAAAACUCAAAGGAAUUGACGGGGCCCCGCACAAGCAGCGGAGCAUGCGGCUUAAUUCGACGCAACGCGAAGAACCUUACCAAGGCUUGACAUAUAGCGAAAAGUGGCAGAGAUGUCAUGUCCGCAAGGGCGCUAUACAGGUGGUGCAUGGUUGUCGUCAGCUCGUGUCGUGAGAUGUUGGGUUAAGUCCCGCAACGAGCGCAACCCUCGUUCUGUGUUACCAGCAUUAAGUUGGGGACUCACAGGAGACUGCCGGGGUCAACUCGGAGGAAGGUGGGGAUGACGUCAAAUCAUCAUGCCCCUUAUGUCUUGGGCUGCACGCAUGCUACAAUAGCCGGUACAAAGUGCUGCGAAAUCGUAAGGUUUAGCGAAUCACAUAAAGCCGGUCUCAGUUCGGAUUGAGGUCUGCAACUCGACCUCAUGAAGUCGGAGUUGCUAGUAAUCGUAGAUCAGCAACGCUACGGUGAAUACGUUCCCGGGGCU
rnacentral:rRNA from 1 species